GACCUUGAAAAUCUCAAAUAAAUACAUGCAGUAGAGCGCUUGAGGUUUUGGUGUUUACACUAGACUGAUGAGUUGCGAACGGGUGAGUAACGCGUAGGUAACCUGCCUCAUAGCGGGGGAUAACUAUUGGAAACGAUAGCUAAUACCGCAUAAGAGUAAUUAACACAUGUUAGUUAUUUAAAAGGAGCAAUUGCUUCACUGUGAGAUGGACCUGCGUUGUAUUAGCUAGUUGGUGAGGUAAAGGCUCACCAAGGCGACGAUACAUAGCCGACCUGAGAGGGUGAUCGGCCACACUGGGACUGAGACACGGCCCAGACUCCUACGGGAGGCAGCAGUAGGGAAUCUUCGGCAAUGGACGGAAGUCUGACCGAGCAACGCCGCGUGAGUGAAGAAGGUUUUCGGAUCGUAAAGCUCUGUUGUUAGAGAAGAACGUUGGUAGGAGUGGAAAAUCUACCAAGUGACGGUAACUAACCAGAAAAGGGACGGCUAACUACGUGCCAGCAGCCGCGGUAAUACGGUAGGUCCCGAGCGUUGUCCGGAUUUAUUGGGCGUAAAGCGAGCGCAGGCGGUUCUUUAAAGUCUGAAGUUAAAAGGCAGUGGCUUAACCAUUGUACGCUUUGGAAACUGGAGGACUUUGAGUGCAGAAGGGGGAGAGUGGAAUUCCAUGUGUAGCGGUGAAAUGCGUAGAUAUAUGGAGGAACACCCGGUGGCGAAAGCGGCUCUCUGGGUCUGUAACUGACGCUGAGGCUCGAAAGCGUGGGGAGCAACCAGGAUUAGAUACCCUGGAAGUCCACGCCCGUAAACGAUGAGUGCUAGGUGUAGGCCCUUUCCGGGGCUUAGUGGCCGCAGCUUAAACGCAUAAAGCACUCCGCCUGGGGGAGUACCGACCGGCAGGUUUGAACUCAAAAGAAAAUUGACGGGAA
rnacentral:rRNA from 1 species